CUACUUAAUAUGAUUUUUUUUUUUCCGAUGUUGUCUGAAUUUGUUAGUCCCUGUGACUGCUCUUCUGGCAUUUCUUUCUUUUAGGCCUUUUCUGUCAUUUUUGCUGUUGCACUGGGGUGAGGGAUCUGGAUUUGGCAGUAUCCUGAAAGGUAAUGGCAUGGAAUUAGGCCUGUUUUACAGAUGGGUGUGUGAAGUGUGGAAACUGAAAGCUCACACUAAAUCUGCACAACCAAACAUGCAAAAGACUCCUCCUAAGUCCCCUUGUCACUUAGUUACCCAGAGCUUGCUCAUGAAGAGAGGAGAGAAGCCCUAUAGUCAAGAGCCCUUUGAAGAACAUAAAUUAAAUUUCUACUCUGAAUCAGUCUCAAUGGGAAUGAAUGUGGGAGAAGCCUGCUACCCUCAUUAGGGCCUAAAGAUGAGUAGGUGAGGGCUGAUCCUUGUGCAGAUUGCCAUUUCUAAAGAGCUGUCCACAGUUACUUGUUCAGGAUCAAAACAAAACAAAAUCAAUCCAGAUUUCCAGGACGCCUUUCAGCUGUUGAUCUCUUUCCCUUCUCACAGCAUCUUGUGUCUUCUAAACUCAGAUAUUCUGAAACAAGUGAGGCAGUGUCACACAUAAUCUCAACACAGCCAAGGCUCAUUUCCAGGGCAGCUUCAUUCUUUAUCCCAAAUAGGUAGAGGCAGGAAAAACAAAUAUCAACAUAAAAGAUUACUGUUUAAAUAUUAUAAACUACACAUGUGAAAGGAUCUAUUUUAUUAUUGUCACUUUAAAUUUACCAUUUUCUAACUGUUGAAUCUUGAUUUUCUUAUGUGAAUAUUCUUGUAGGGCAGUGAACAAAUGCUGCAGGUUAACAGAGGAAAUAUCAAAAGGACAAAGGUGUGAAAUGUGGACAUGAACCAGUCUUAGAUACAAGUCAUUUGAAAUAAAUGAUUUGUGGCCUCUGUAGCUCAGUAAAAAUAUGUCCUAGCUCAGGUUUUUGUUCCUGUAGGUCCCAUGAAGUUCCCACAAUGUGAGAUCUCUCUGUGAAAGCCUCAGAGCCUGACCCUUCUGAACACAUGCAAUGAUGAAUCUUUUGCUGGUUUGUUCUGGUUUCUUUUCCUGUAGGUGAAGAUGAGGAUGAGUUUGAGAAUUUCCUGCUCCCCCUCACAGUUUGAUUUAAGGUAUCACUCAGAUACUGAACAGUAGUUUUGAACAAGAAGAAACAAAGGCAGGUUUAUUUCUAUUACAGGGUAAGAAACAAUGUGUGGGAAGAGCUGAUUGUGGGGCAAGCACUCAGCAGCAAGCUUGGCACCUCUGCUGCCAGUCUCCCUGGACACCUGUGUAUCUGUAUGUGGGUGUCUAUACCUGAAUACAUCUGUUUAAUUAGGAAUUUAGACAGCAGAGGUACUAAGGUUGUGAAUACUAUCCUAGAUAAACUUUGUACAACGAUUUUUAAAGGCAUUGGGAUUUCUCCAGUGUUUUGCAGAUCAGGGAACCCCAUUUAAGGCUCAUUUAUAAUCAGAGACAAAUUCUUCUUCAGAGAUAGCUUAUCUGUUCCAUAUUCCCAUUUUCUAUACAAGUAUCCUCUUUGUGUAUAUUAACAUAUUUAUGUGGGGGUAUGAGGAGACAUGUAAUACACUUGAUAAAACACUGCUGGUUUAAAGUAUUUUUUUCCAAACAAGAAUUUAUUAUAUAAAUCAAGACUUUAUUAAAUGGCUGGGCAUAUAUGUAUAAAUUGGAACGGGUCUUGAAGUAUUGCACCCUUAAACUGAACAAAGUGAUUAGGAUAACUGAUAGCUAAAUAAGGUUUUUAUGUGCCUGUGGGAGCCAUAUUAGGAUUGAUUUGACAAGGCAGUUCAGCUGUGGCAACAGUCAUAAUAUCUAACACAACAUUAUGUUUUAUUAGUAAAAUCCUUAAGUGUUUGUGUCAAAACAACAGUAUAUUUUAGGGAAGAAAAAGACUUACUGGAUAGAAGGCGCAUCAUCAGGAAUGAUAAUAUAUUGGAGCACUCUUGCAUUAAAGAGAUCUUCUGCCAUCACUGAAUCAAUAGUUAACUGCACACUGGAGUGCUCACUUCAGCUAAACAGGGUCGUUUUGAAGAAAUCCUAACAGUAAUUUUUAAUUUGCUAUUUUAAAAUAUGGUGGCAACUGAAAUAUUGCUUCAUAAUAUUUAUCUGCUUUUUUCACAAGGAAAUAAACAGUUGUGCUGGAAGUAUUUGGUAAAUAAUUGGCUGCAGUACGUGGCUGACAGUACCAGAAGAUGUGCAGUUCAUAGUCAUUGCUUGAAUUAGGACGAUAUUUUUUUUUAAUUGUACUAAGGCUUAUUUCAACAAAUACUUAAAUCUGGUUUCCUCUUUGUUAUUGCUUUAUGUAUUUAAUUGUAAUCACUUUUCAUGUAUAAAAUAGACUCAGUUCACCUGUCUUGGAUUCACCUCUCCUAUGUUCAAGUUAUAAAUCCUAAAAACUAGAACAAGGAGGUCAUUUGGUGGCAUAACCAUUUCUGUAGGAAACUGGAUUCCUCUUGUGUGAGGAUUCAAUUUAUUAGAAUAAUUUUGCCAUUGUCCUGUCUGGAUUGCUUGAAACUGUCUUAGUAGAAAAAUUUUAAUGGAGUGCCAGUGAUAUAUUCCUAAACUAGCAAGUUCUUAACGACCCUGGAAAGUGACUGCUUGAUUACACUUUAACGGUAUUUGCAAAUAAAAUCACAAGUAAUUAAGGGGAAAUCUCCAGGCUUUUGAGCAAGUUUGAUGCAUGAUAACUGCCUGAUUCAGCUUCAUCUAGAGUAAUGCUGUGUAGACAAGAGCUACUGAGAUCAAUAGCAACAUAAUGAUAGUGGCAGAAUUAAGUGAGUAACCUGAGAACUAUGUCUUCACAAUGCAUGCAGCUGCCACCAGCCAGGGCCACACAGUGCACUCCUGCUUCCGUCCUAAAUGUUCAUCAAAAGACGCCCUGCAGGAAAAUGGAGUUAGAUGCUCUUUAUUGCUGAUCGUGUCUCUUGCCACAUUUAUCAGGGAAAUUGGAUUAGCAGUUGGCAGCUGCAGGUAGACAAGGUUCUGUAGUGAUUAAAUAUGCAGCUUGGCUGCAUUUGUUGUGACAGACCUUUAGUAAAUUCUACUGUAAGCACCAUCUGUCUGAUUUGUAUAAGGAAAACUUGGUGCUUUAAGCUACUGAUAAAGAACUAAACGCUUUAUCAUAAAAAAAACCCAAAACUUUUGCUCUAAAUUAUCUUAAACACAAUUUAUUACAUUAAAGCUAUUUUUUUCUAUCAUAAUAAAUAAAUAAUACAUGCAAAAAGGCUUUCAGGUACUUCAUUUUGCAAGUACUGAAAACAAAAACAGUUCAGUUCUUCAAUAAAAUGCUUACUAUUGCCAUCCACGGGGAGAUGACACUGUUAAAAUAUCACUAUGAAAAUGGUCCAGGACUGCCAAACUAAUUUAAUUUGUAGGUUUUACUAGGACUUUCUAACUGGCUAGGGUUUUUUUAGGUUUUUAAUAUUUCUGAAAUACGCCUGAUAAACAGUUGUAACAAGAGAGAUCUUUCUUUUAAAAAUAAAUUUGUAACCAUUAUAUCUGCAUACUAAGCAUAUGGUUAGGUUUCUUUUUCAGGGAUAUCAAAUGUAAUUGAAGAUGGCUGAAGUCAUUAUGCAUGUUGCUUUACUUUUUUCUUUUUCUUUUUCUUUUUUUUCUUUUGUCUUGCAACUUUCUUCUUCAUGUUUUUAUAUUAAUAGGAAAAAUGUCCAGUAUUAAAACUGCCUAAUUUUCUCCUAAGAAUGUCAAGAUUUCUCUUGACAAUGUGGGUAAGGAAUCUAUUGCCUGGGCAGUUCGAAUCUCAGCAGUACUUUGUUUAUAGUUGUGACAUCAUCAGAUUUGCUACGAAUGCAUGGAAAAGGGAUCUGAAGAAAAAGCAGUUAAAUAGCAACAUGCUAUCUUUAGCUGGUUUGUAGAAACUCCAUGCUGUUAAAUUAUUUAAAAUCGUUGAUUUUCAGCUUGCACACAUUAAAAGUUUUCACACUAAGUGCCAAAUGUUGCAAACAGCACUUUAACAGAAUGAUUUUGCUUUGAUCCCUGUAGCAGUUCCUGAAUAAUUUAUCACAGGUUAUUGCCUUAAUUCUGGAGAGGGAUAGAGCAAUAAAGGCAGAUGAAAACACUCCAGUUGAAACACCUUGGGGCCUGCUCAUUCCUCUGACACGGCUCUUUUGUUGGAACUAUUUAGAGGUUAUUAAGACGUGUCUCUAGAAUUAAGAGUAUGCUGUAAGGAUGAAGACAGCCAUCUUAAUUCUAAAGACAAAGCACAAUGACCCUUCACCUUUUUUUUCCUUUGUUGUUAUUAUAUAGUAGAAUUAUGAGGGUAAUAUUAUAGCUGCACCCAGUAGUGCCACUAUAGUUAAGGGUCUGUCAGACUUUCCAUUACCAGCCCUGUUUUGGGGAUGGUGGGUGUGAGCAGACUCAUGUGUUUUAGGUGGCCUCAGUCAGACACUUGGCACAUUUUGGCAAGUCAGAGGGGCUUUUCUGGGAAUAUUUACAUCUCCAGCUUCUCUCCCUUUAAAAAAAAUCAUUGAAAAAUGAGCUUCAGGACUCUGAAACAAAAUACCUGAAUUUAUUUUUUAAAUGUCUUUUUUAUAAUUAAAUCUUAAGGAAACCUGUCACUGACAUUCAGAGAAGGAUAUUCUGAAGCUGAAAUCUGCACAAAAUUGCCUCAUUAGUGAGAAGAGGACUGUAUAAAACCCCAGAAUGCUGACAAGCUCCUUUUGCUGUGUUUCCUGUAUUUGCUGUUCUUUACUCCUCCUCUCACUCUUUGACCACUGCUGGUGGUGCCAUUUGCUGUCCCAUUGCCCCAGGAAGGGCAGGGAUGCAGCUGGGAAAGGAGCAGCAGCCUCAGGUAUUCCUGCCAUCACUGGGAAAUUUGAAGGGCACUCUGGAUCCCAUGGGAUGUAAAAACAGAUGUAAAAGUAUGUAAUCUCGUUGGUCAUUAAUACAUUUUAUGUACAUAAGUGCUAUUUGGUUACUUACAGUAGACUAAAACUAGAUUCUCUUGGGAUUUUAGGAGUUUGGGGGUAGGUCCUUACUGAAUGUGAAAUAAGCAAACAUGGAAUAUAGCUUGAUUUUUGCUCCUAUUGGAGUUUAAGAGUAUUUUGCACCAGUGGCUUAAAUGGAUCAGGAUUCAGCUCGGGAUUCUGGAGGCUAUUCUGUGGGCUGUUCAUCUGGUGCUGGCUGUGGCAGUGAUCUUACACAGCUGAGUUCCGAUGGAUCCUAUCUGAAUCACUGCUUUGCUGGGAUUUUACAGAACAAGAAUAUUAAAUCUAAAUCUUAGAUUUUGCAGAUUGAGGUAAUUUAUUAAGAAGUGUGGUUAUGGGCUUUUAAGUAACAAUAUCUCAAUUUAAAGAAUAGAAAACCAGAAAAUGUGGGUUUUGUACACGUUGUUCUUUCACUGGAAUUCAAGGUGUCUGAAGCUGCCUAGUGUUCAUGUAGGCUCCCAGCAACCUGGGACUGCAGUUCAAGGAAAGUUGGGCAUCUACUUUUAUUAAUAGUUUUUGAAGUCGCGCAGCCAAACUGUUUCUUAAAUAGAUUUGCAAAAGAGUGUUUUCUUAAGCUGUUUUUUGUAGCGAGAAUAAACCUGGUGGUGGCCUGUGGGUUGGGUUGUCCUUUUCUAGCCCAUGUCCCACAAAGCCACAUGAAGGGAGCUUUUUGUCCCCAGCAGUGCCCGCUCAAGGGAGAGUUCCUGUCUUGCCAUGGCCAUGGUGGCUCCCCUUCUCCCUUGCCCCAGACUUGCUUUGUGCAGCCUUGUUAUCUCCUUUUUUGUGGCUGGUAUGGGCAAGGGAGCCAAAAUCAGAGUGGAACAUUUCCACUUCUUGUAUCGAUUGCUGCAUCCCUGGCUGCCUUCAGAGAUAUGUAUAAAGUAUUGCUGCCAAGUUCUUUUAAUUCUUGAUGUUUUGGCCACCUUUUCUGCUGAACAGUGAUUUUCUGUGCAGACAAAACAGUACACCAAGUAUGAAAAUACAGAUGGCUAUAAAGUUACAAUUUUAUAUUGCAUCUUCUCAGUAUUGAACACUUCCUCUCUAGUGAUUUCAGAGUCCCAUUAAAGUUAAUGAGAGUGGAGACCUCUGAGCAUCUUUGUGAGUUCAGGCCAUUUCAAUGCACAACAGAAAGGAAAUGCAAAUAUUAAAAUACUCCCAGCAACCUCAGUAUUCUUUGGUAAAGAACUCCAUUUGUUCUGGGAUAAAUCUAUGUCUAUGUCACCCAGGUCAGCCAGGCUGAUUGGUUUAUAUAUGAAAAGUAGAAAUUAGCCCUGGUCUGAGCUCACAUGGAGCAGUUUACAAGGCAUCAGCCAUAAUGUAUUCUUUGUGUGAUCAAGUAAAAAAGUAUGUGACUGUUAUUUUUUGUAUUUGUCAGCACUAAAAACAUUGCAGUGGUAGCACCAAGUAGUACAUUACUGAAAACACUGGGUUUAAAGAGGGAACUCCUUACUUUUUGCCAUGGUUCUAUGAUUGGUUUUUUUCCCCAGACUCUGUAGAACUGUAACCUUUUUUUGUAAAAAAAGAGAAGUACAAUCCCACAUGCAACUUAGAGAAGAAUACUUAUGUGUGAGUAAAUCAAAAAGUUUGUUUAUGUUGUUAAAAUAUUUUUCAUGCACUGGUGUUUCUUAUUGAUGUCUAUUAAUUAUCCUGAAAACAUCCCCUUGGUAGGGGCUAAUUAUCUGCAUACAGUAUGGUCUGCAUGGGAGCAGGUAGGAUUCUGCAGCCACACUUCAGUCAUCAAAGGGGAAAAAAUGCACCUCAGAACUAAUGUUAACACAGGCAGAGAUUUGCAUAGCUUCCUCUAAACUGAGAAGUCAUUUUUUGAAGACAACUUACUUGGAAAAUUACUUAAAAGAACCCCAAGAAAACAACGAAAGCUAUGUUAAAAUAACAGUACGAUGGGAAUCUCAAUGCAGCCUUAAUUGGAGCUUGUUAUGAGUAUCAGUUAGUCUUACACCAUUCAAAAUAUUACAAGCUUAAAUUAACAUUUUAUUGUUAUUAUCCCUUUAAAUGUAUUAAUACAGGAAGCACUUUUAAACGUUAAUACAUAGUAUUCAUAUAUAAUGUUUUAAUUUGUAUUAUUCAUUGUGAGAGCAUAUUGAAUAAUCCAAAGCAUUUCCUAAGCAUUUUCCUAAUGUCAGCACUAGAAAACUUGUGGAAAUCUUUUUUCAUUCGAGGAUCUUUGUAUUUUUUCUGAAGAAAAAAAAAAAAAAAAA
ensembl:lncRNA